GACGAACCGUCCAAACGUUAUUCGGAAUCACUGGGCUUACAGAGUUCGUAGGCGGUCUGGAAAGUUGGGUGUGAAAUCUCCCGGCUCAACCGGGAGGGUGCGCCGAAUACUGAAUGACUUGGAGUGCGGGAGAGGUGAGUGGAAUUCCUGGUGUAGCGGUGAAAUGCGUAGAUAUCAGGAGGAACACCGGUGGUGUAGACGGCUCACUGGACCGUAACUGACGCUGAGACACGAAAGCGUGGGUAGCAAACAGG
rnacentral:rRNA from 1 species